rnacentral:rRNA from 1 species
CUACGGGGUGCUGCAGUGAGGAAUAUUGCACAAUGGGGGGAACCCUGAUGCAGCAACGCCGCGUGGAGGAUGACGCAUUUCGGUGUGUAAACUCCUUUUAUAUGUCAAGAGAAUGACGGUAGCAUAUGAAUAAGCACCGGCUAACUCCGUGCCAGCAGCCGCGGUAAUACGGAGGGUGCAAGCGUUACUCGGAAUCACUGGGCGUAAAGGACGCGUAGGCGGGUUGGAAAGUCAGGUGUGAAAUCCUACAGCUUAACUGUAGAACUGCACUUGAAACUUCUAAUCUAGAGUAUGGGAGGGGGAGAUGGAAUUAGUGGUGUAGGGGUAAUAUCCGUAGAUAUCACUAGGAAUACCUAAAGCGAAGGCGAUCUCCUGGAACAUUACUGACGCUAAGGCGUGAAAGCGUGGGGAGCAAACAGGAUUAGAUACCCCCGUAGUC